AACGCGCCGAAGGACGACGCCCAACACCAGCCGGCGUCUCGUCCCUCACAACAGCAGCGCUGAUGGACGACCUACGUCACGACUGUCGUUUUAUGGCACCCACUACGUGCUCAUCACUCCUCUCCACAGUAGAAUCUUUACAGUGAUCAGUGUUGCGAGGUAAAAGCAAUGGCCGUUUUCGACUGCAGGAAACACCACUGACGUGCCAAUACAUUGCCCAGCACGAGACUGAAUGCCGUCUGGAGGUGUUGCGGGCGCGUUUCACAGCAAGAGGGAAAACUGACUCGCCUUCCGACUACGUCGAGACUCCGCUGCUGGCAACAUACCUACAGACAGAAGGGAAAAAAUACGAGGGAGUGAUACUGGAGAGCACUUUACGGCUACAGUUGAGCGUCAGUUGGUCAUCGCUUACUCUCACGACCAGAGUCAUAGCCGUCAGCUGCGUGGUCCAGUCCUGCCCGCCCACGACCACGCAGGCAUCGGGCUCCGGCCGCCGAUGCAGCCGUCUCUGAGCUGCACCGUGGAGGCCGCGAGACGACCGACGCUGCACGCCGCGCAGCCGCGUCCCCUGCUGGCGAAAUACACUCUUGUAUCCCAGGGAAAGACAGCCGACCGCCCCUCUCAAAGACGUUCAUAUUUUUCAACCAACAAAGUGACCUAGAGACGGUACUCGUUUGAGUAAGAUUAUUAUUGUGGCUAAAAUA